rnacentral:lncRNA from 1 species
CUCAUAUUAGUUCUCUCCCUCUAGGGGACAAUGGCUAAUAUAUAUGGAGUUUAUUAUAUAAUUAUAUAAUAAAUUAUAUAUACAUAGAGAGAGAGAGUUUAUUAAGUAUUAACUUACACGAUCACAAAUUCCCAAAAUAGGCUGUCUGCAACCUUGAAGAGAAAGGAGAGUCAGUCUGAGUCUCAAAACUGAAGAACUUGGAGUCAGAUAUUUGAGGGCAGGAAGCAUCCAGCACGGGAGAAAGAUCUAGGCUGAGAGGCUAGGCCCGUCUCACGUUUUCACAUUUUUCUGCCUGCUUUAUAUUCACUGGCAGCUGAUUAGAUUGUGCUGACCAGAUUAAGGGUGGGUCUGCCUUCCCUAACCCACUGGCUCAAAUGUUAAUCUCCUUUGGCAACACCCUCACAGACACACCCAGGAUCAAUACUUUGCAUCCUUCAAUCCAAUCAAGUUGACACUCAGUAUUAACCAUCACAAGUACACCCCUUGUAAACUCAAACCCAUACACGUCUUCUGAGAUCAUACAUAGUCUUCAAAUAAAGACAAUAAUAAGGUCAUAAUUAUGCCUAACAUAAUACAACUAUCCUUUGUACAACCAGAAAUGCACCAAUCCCCAACCCAAAUACUAUUACACAAAGUUAACAUACUUAAAUUCUGAUAUGAAGUCAAUAAAUCUUAUGUCACAUGAUAAAGAAAAAGGAAAUAAAAUGAUGAUAUUUUCUUAGUACAAGUGUAUACAUGCACAAACAUGUUUUUAACAAAAGAAGGAGGAAAUACACAUGACAAUUACAGUCCUCGUUUCUGCAGCUGGUCACAUGGUGAUAGCUGGUAUUGAUGACUACCCUCUUCUACUACUCAUUCUGUAUUCUCUUUGCCUUCAGCAAGCACCUCAGCAGUUCAUAGUUUUUUUUUCCUGGUGGAAUGACCCAAACUUUCAUUCUUGAGGGAUCUGGACCAUUUGUAGUCUUGCCUGGAUUGGGCGGUUGUAGUUUCCCAUUGACUAUAAUCAUAGGGCAGGGUAAUACUAAGAGAUGCCCUAAUGGAUCUCCUGUAUUCCAUGCAUACUCUUCCUUACCUCCAUUAUAGAGUAGUAUACUGAUUUCAUCUUGAUAGUCUGGAUCAAUCACCCCAGCCAACACUGUAACUCCCUUCUUAGCCUGUUGACUUAAAGGUAGGAGGAGCCCAAAGUGUCUAGGUGGCAAUCUCAGCUUCCGGUUUAAUGGAAUCAUUCUUGUGUCUCCUGGUGGCAGUGUUCCUCCCCCUGGAACUAAGACCUCCAAGCCAGCAGAAUGUAAUGUCAUGGGAACAGGAAGAAAAAUUUUGCUUGUGGAACACUAUGGGUGAUGGUGAGUUGUGCCACUUCUACUUCCAUCCCUUGAUUCCUGGACCCGUGAAUCCUGGCUAUGGGAGAAACACUAUCAUAUAUUGGAUGCUGAUUUAGAGCAUACAUGGCUUUCUAGAGAACUUUGCCCCAGGCCUGCAAAGUAUUGUCACCUAGUUGGCAUUGUAAUUGUGACUUCAAAAGGCCAUUCCACCAUUCUAUCAAUCCAGCUGCUUCAGGAUGAUGGGGAAUAUGGUAAGACCAGUAAAUUCCAUGGGCACGAGACCACUGCCACACUGCUUUUGCCAUAAAGUGAAUGCGUUGGUCAGAGGCAAUGCUGUUGGGAAUACCAUGAUGGUGGGUAAGGCAUUUCAUGAGUCCACGGAUGGUAGUCUUGGCAGAAGCAUUGCAUGCAGGAUAGGCAAACCCAUAUCCCAAGUAAGUGUCUAUUCCAGUGAGGACAAAGCUUUGACUUUUCCAUGAUGGGAGAGGUCCAAUAUAAUCAACCUGCCACCAGGUAGCUGGCUGAUUACCCCGAGGAAUGGUGCCAUAUUGAGGACUCAGUGUUGGUGUCUGCUGCUGGCAAAUUUGGCACUCAGCAGUGGCUGUAGCCAGGUCAGCCUUGGUGAGUGGAAGUCCAUAUUGCUGAACCCAUGUGUAACCUCCAUCCCUGCCACGAUGGCCACUUUGUUCGUGGGCCCAUUGGGCGAUCACAGGGGUGGCUGGGGAAGGAGGCUGAGUGGUGUCCAUAGAUCGGGUCAUCCUAUCCACUUGAUUAUUAAAAUCCUCCUCUGCUGAGGUCACCUGUUGGUGGGCACCUACAUGGAAUACAAAAGUAUUCACAGUUUUUGACCACGCAGAGAGGUUCAUCCACAUACCUCUUCCCCAACUUUGUCACAAAUUUUCCAGUCAUGCUUCUUCCAAGUCCCUGACCAUCCAGCCAAACCACUGGCCACAGCCAAUGAAUCAGUAUAUAAUCACAUAUCUGGCCAUUUCUCCUUCCAUGCAAAGUGCACAACUAGGUGCACUGCUCAAAGUUCUGCUUACUGGGAAGAUUCCUCUUCACUGCUGUCCUUCAGGGGUGUCCUAGAAAGGGGGGCUGUAGUGCUCCAGUUGUCCACUUUUGUGGGGAAAAGAAAGAGAGAUCAGACUGUUACUGUGUCUAAGUAGAAAGGGAAGACAUAAGACACUCCAUUUUGAAAAAGACCUGUACUUUAAAUAAUUGCUUUGCUGAGAUGUUGUUAAUUUGUAGCUUUGCCCCAGCCACUUUGACCCAACCACUUUGACACAACCUGGAGCUCACAAAAACAUGUGUUGUAUGAAAUCAAGGUUUAAGGGAUCUAGGACUGUGCAGGACGUGCCUUGUUAACAAAAUGUUUACAAGCAGUAUACUUGGUAAAAGUCAUCGCCAUUCUCUAGUCUCAAUAAACCAGGGGCACAAUGCACUGUGGAAAGCCACAGGGACCUCCACCCUUGAAAGCGGGGUAUUGUCCAAGGUUUCUCCCCAUGUGAUAGUCUAAAAUAUGGCCUCACAGGAUUAGAAAGACCUGACUGUCCCCCAGCCCGACACCCAUAAAGGGUCUGUGCUGAGGUGGAUUAGUAAAAGAGGAAAGCCUCUUGCAGUUGAGAUAGCGGAAAGCCAGUCUCCUGCCUGCCCCUGGGAACUGAAUGUCUCAGUAUAAAACCCAGUUGUACAUUUGUUCAAUUCUGAGAUGAAAGAAAAACUGCCCUGUGGUGAGAGGUGAGACAUGUUUGCAGCAAUGCUGCUUUGUUAUUCUUUACUCCACUGAGAUGUUUGGGUGGAGAGAAACAUAAAUCUGGCUUACGUGCACGUCCAGUCAUAGUACCUUCCCUUGAACUUAAUUAUGACAUAGAUUCUAUUGCUCACGUUUGUUGUUGACCUUUCCCCUUAUUAUCACCCUGCCCUCCUACUACAUUCCUUUUUGCUGAAAUAAUGAAGAUAAUAAUCAAUAAAAACUGAGGGAACCCAGAGACUGGUGUCGGUGCAGGUCCUUGGUAUGCUGAGCGCUGGUCCCCUGGGCCCACUGUUGUUUCUCUAUACUUUGUCUCUGUGUCUUAUUUCUUUUCUCAGUCUCUCAUCCCACCUGACUAGAAAUACCCACAGGUGUGGAGGGGCAGGCCACCCCUUCAACUUUUGGGUGGUGUCUGCAUAUUGA